GGCUGGGGGUGAAAGGCCAAUCAAACCGGGAGAUAGCUGGUUCUCCCCGAAAGCUAUUUAGGUAGCGCCUCGUGAAUUCAUCUCCGGGGGUAGAGCACUGUUUCGGCUAGGGGGCCAUCCCGGCUUACCAACCCGAUGCAAACUGCGAAUACCGGAGAAUGUUAUCACGGGAGACACACGGCGGGUGCUAACGUCCGUCGUGAAGAGGGAAACAACCCAGACCGCCAGCUAAGGUCCCAAAGUCAUGGUUAAGUGGGAAACGAUGUGGGAAGGCCCAGACAGCCAGGAUGUUGGCUUAGAAGCAGCCAUCAUUUAAAGAAAGCGUAAUAGCUCACUGGUCGAGUCGGCCUGCGCGGAAGAUGUAACGGGGCUAAACCAUGCACCGAAGCUGCGGCAGCGACACUAUGUGUUGUUGGGUAGGGGAGCGUUCUGUAAGCCUGCGAAGGUGGCCUGUGAGGGUUGCUGGAGGUAUCAGAAGUGCGAAUGCUGACAUAAGUAACGAUAAAGCGGGUGAAAAGCCCGCUCGCCGGAAGACCAAGGGUUCCUGUCCAACGUUAAUCGGGGCAGGGUGAGUCGACCCCUAAGGCGAGGCCGAAAGGCGUAGUCGAUGGGAAACGGGUUAAUAUUCCCGUACUUGGUGUUACUGCGAAGGGGGGACGGAGAAGGCUAUGUUGGCCGGGCGACGGUUGUCCCGGUUUAAGCGUGUAGGUGUGUGUUCCAGGUAAAUCCGGUU
rnacentral:rRNA from 1 species